rnacentral:rRNA from 1 species
UACGUAGGGUGCGAGCGUUGUCCGGCAUUAUUGGGCGUAAAGGGCUCGUAGGCGGUUUGUCGCGUCGGGAGUGAAAACCCAGGGCUUAACCCUGGGCUGGCUUUCGAUACGGGCAGACUAGAGGUAUGCAGGGGAGAACGGAAUUCCUGGUGUAGCGGUGAAAUGCGCAGAUAUCAGGAGGAACACCGGUGGCGAAGGCGGUUCUCUGGGCAUUACCUGACGCUGAGGAGCGAAAGUGUGGGGAGCGAACAGG